rnacentral:rRNA from 1 species
UACGUAGGGGGCAAGCGUUAUCCGGAAUUACUGGGUGUAAAGGGUGAGUAGGCGGCAUGGUAAGCCAGAUGUGAAAGCCUUGGGCUUAACCCGAGGAUUGCAUUUGGAACUAUCAAGCUAGAGUACAGGAGAGGAAAGCGGAAUUCCUAGUGUAGCGGUGAAAUGCGUAGAUAUUAGGAAGAACACCAGUGGCGAAGGCGGCUUUCUGGACCGAAACUGACGCUGAGGCACGAAAGCGUGGGGAGCGAACAGG